AAAAAUUCCAACACAACAUCAUUAUGGGGAAUAUUUUCCUUUCGGUUUUAAUCUUGAUCAGUUUACUUUUUCAUCGGCUGUGCUCUCUUUCGUUCAUUAUCACUGUUGUAGGCACUUUUCAGUCCUCCCGACGAGGGCCCAGCAGUAGAAGAAGGUCCUGCGAUUGCACCAGCCUUCAUCAUCCGAUAUCGAUUGAUCAAACUUGUUGCCGUAGUAUGUGCUGCAAGGAAGCGAAAAAAGAUGAUUUUUUUCUUUUCGGUUCACAUAAUGCCCCCCGUCGGUAUUGUUACUUACAUCGACUGUUUGUACGUGUCAGUGGCCUUGGACUUUUGCCCACUCGCUUGGGGCUGAAUUUCCGGUUCUCCUUGUUCAGGGUUAGUGUGACUUUGGAAAUCACAUUUCCCUUGGUGGAAGCUCGCCUGAGAACUGGUUCAAAUAGAUUGAAAAUGUAACUGCUGGGUUCAGUCGAAAAUCUGAUAGAUACCAACCUUUAUUCAGUACUUUGGGAUCGACGUUGCUCUCUACAAGUACGUUAGAGAACAAGGAACUGGCAGAAUCUUUGCUAGAAUCGAUGCAGAAGGUGUUAUUGCCGUUAGCAGUGCCUUCAUCAGGACCAUCGGAAAGAUCACUAGUAUCGGUCGAAGACGAUGAACUGGAGAAUUUUUGCAAUUUUUUGGCACAAGACAUUUUGGUGGAACCACUGACGAGCAGCUUAGGAACUUUAAAUUGUGCUAUUGUGGUUGUUUUCUGAGAUUUCGUUGGAGUUUUCCUGGUUACGGUGGUUUUCACACUCAAACUCUGCGCUUUGAAGUUAAGAGGUCGCAGAGCCUUAGGCUUCUUAAACUCGACAACGUUGGGUUCAUCAGUUUGCAUUUUGGAGACAGUUUCUGAUUCACUUUCAUCAUCACUCUUCAGUCGCUUCAGUGCACAUUCUGUUUCCAUUUCCCCAUUCCAAUCGAGUGUAUCUACGCAAUCAGAUAGGUUUGUGAUUUUCUCGAUGCUCGUAUCGGUUAUAUUCACCUCUUUCAUGAGCUCACUCUGGUCAUCGUCUUCGCUGAACUUGACACCGCGUUGACACUGAUCCAAGCGGACCAAUUUUUCCAUUUUUUCAAGAAUGAUAUUGUCCAGCCGUCCCAUACUUCGUAGGAGCAAGUAGUUCUGCUGAAUUAUGUCCGCACUGAGGGUCGUUAUCUUCUCCCAUUGCUUGUUUUCAUCGACAUAGAUCAUAUUGAUUUUCAUGACGUGACUUUUCUUAUGGUGGGAUUUUGCCUCAUUAAGCUCCGCGUCUUUAGCUUCGAGCUGAUAUUUGAGAAAGCCGACAAGCGGAGUCGAGUUCACUUCUGCCUUCAAAGUAGCAAUACUUUUGAUGGCUGCCUUGUACCGCUUCGCCCAUCGAUGCAUUUCUUCCCUUUGUUGUGUGAUCUGUUUGGAGUACCGAUCGAUGGAUGCCUGUAGGCGGGCUAUGUUCUACAAAAAUAACAAGAACAACGUUAGAUGAAAACUCGUUGUCUUUUUCAAAAUUGCAAAUUACAUUCACACAAAAACCGGCAGAUAGCAUAGACCAAUUGGAAGGUAUAUGGGGAGACUAACUUUUAACAAGAUCUUGUAAUUUUAUAUUAAAAAAGGUGGGUAAUAUUGUGGACAUAACCGGAGAGACGUAGGACUACAUCGAGGGUUAAUUGAAAUCACUGUAUUCACGCUAAUCACCGGAGCCGAAAUUUAAUAGAUAGCAAUUUUAUUGUUCGCACUGGCUCACAGAUAUCUUUUGUAUCGUUGUUGCCUUGUUGUUUGCAGUGUUUUAUUAUUCUUUUGUGCUACAUAAAUGUUUAUUCCGCUAUUUCCUGAACUACAUAUAAAUACUUCACGAACUACUUGUUGUUUGCACUGUUUUGUUAUUUUUUGGCGCUAUAGAAAUGCGUAUUUGGGGUUUGCGGUAUUAACGUAUGAACACCACUGUAGGGCAAUUUUCAUUAUGAAUUUAUUUAUUCGCAAUGACAUUUAUUCUAGUGUCAAUAAUGGUGACGAAGUAUCCAUCUAACGAAGAUAAGGAACCGAGGCGGCUCCAAGCCGCCGGGGUAACGCAAUCCGAGUGGCCCGCCGACGCGCCGUCGGAAGCGGCGGUCUCGCAAGCAAACCCGUGUUCUACCGAUUGCCCGGUAAGUUUUAAACAUAGGAGACGAUCCUUCAGCAUACUUACAUACGGCAUACAUUUUUGGUUCGAAAUAUGUGUCACGCUCUGGUGGCGCUCAUACGUUAAUACCGCAAAUCCCAAAUACGCAUUUCUGUAGCGCCAAAAAAUAACAAAACAGUGCAAAUAACAAGUAGUUCGUGUAGUAUUUAUAUGUAGUUCAGGAAAUAGCGGAAUAAACUGCCCGCUCUACUAUACUUUCGAGCGGUUAUAGACCUAAUACCGACCGGAACGGUGUAAAGUGCUGGAAAAAACCCCCUCUUUCACCCCCGCAGGCUAAACUGUCCAUAAGUUGAACUAUAAAAGUACACGAUAACUAGUACUUAGUAAAACGACAUCACUGCAUCGAUUCCCUUUCUUCUUUCUCACUGAACUGUCAUUCGAAUAAACAAAAGCAAAAAGAGUGAACUGAGUGAAGAAUUUUCUUAAACAGCGAAUAGCAAACGAAGGACGUGAAGUGAUGACAAUAAAUUUAAGAUUUCAAAGACAAUAUCGCCAACGGAUGUUUCCAACGAAGUUUCAUCUGAUGUGGUUAUUUCGCUUUUGUUGUCUUCAAUCAGACUUGUAUGGAUAUAAUUGAUGUAGCAAUGGAUGCAUCCGGAUUUGCAGUCACCUGUCUAUGUAAAAAUGCAUACAGAUCAAUCAGCCUUUAAAGAAAAAAAACAUUCUCACUAUUUGAGGAACAAAUGAACAUGUAUAAAAUCAGCGAUUGAGCGUUAUUCAGUAGCAGCCAGAUAGAACGUCGCAGUUACAGAAAAAGCAUCUGAUGCAUGGACCAUCGUAACAAUUACCUAACCUUGAAUUUCUAACUGCUUCGUCAGCAGCUGCUUUAGGACCUGCAUCCAACGAUCGCGUUAAACCCACUUAUUGAUGAUAUAGAUGAUGCUUUCAACAUCCCAAACUUUAACUGAAUAGGAAUGUUCAGUGAAGAUCUGAUUCGUCCACAUCCGCAAAGUAUAGUCUAGAAUGGUGGUAUUUGGACUAAAGUUUCAUUCUAGCCGCAUCGAAUAAUUUUACGGUAGUCAUUAUAGGAUAAUCAUCGGACGAUAAUUAUGAAUGCUUAAAAUGUAUUCGCCGAAUGUUCCAGUGAAAGAUUGUUUCGUUCAUUGUAACGUGUUGUGUAGGAUAGCUAUUAUUCGUAAUAGUAUACAAUAUAUCAUAGUGUUAGUAUUAGUAUCGAUUUAUAUAAAGUCGCA